rnacentral:lncRNA from 1 species
AAAAGUGAAAAGGAGAAAGAAAAAUGAUACCCAGGGCUUAAGAUAGUAGGAGAAUCGAGUGAUGGAUGAAGAAAAAUUUGUUCGCAACACUUGGGAAAAAGAUCACUAACUUGGGUAAAUAGCCAAAGUGAAAGAGCAAAGUUUGUAAAAAAUUCAUAAAGAAGAAAGACAAUGAUGACAAUUGGGAGUUCCUAUAAAAACCAUCAUAUGAUGAGGAGAGAGAAAGAUUUGUCAUCAUUGAGAUGAUUGACACUUCAGUGACU